ensembl:misc_RNA Metazoa_SRP Metazoan signal recognition particle RNA
GCUGGGCGAGGUGGCACAUGCCUGUAGUCCCAGAUACUCGGGACGCUGAGGUGGGAGGAUCGCUUGAGCCCAGGAGUUCUGGGCUGUAGUGUGCUGUGCGGAUCGGGUGUCUGUACUAAGUUCAGCAUCAAUAUGGUGACCUCCCGGGAGUAGGGGACCACCAGGUUGCCUAAGGAGGGGUGAACUGGCCCAGGUCAGAAACAGAGCAGGUCAAAACUCUCGUGCUGAUCAGUAGUGGGGUCACGCCUGUGAAUAGCCACUGCACUCCACCUGGGCAAUGAAGCAAGACCCCAUCUCU